AGGACGAACGCUGGCGGCGUGCUUAACACAUGCAAGUCGAGCGGAAAGGCCCUUUCGGGGGUACUCGAGCGGCGAACGGGUGAGUAACACGUGGAUAACCUGCCCUCGACACCCGGGAUAGCCCGGGGAAACUCGGAUUAAUACCGGAUAGCCCUUUCGGCUCUCGAGCCGGUCGGAAAAGGUAGCUUCGGCCUCUGGUCGAGGAUGGGUCCGCGGCGGAUUAGCUUGUUGGUGGGGUAAUGGCCUACCAAGGCACCGAUCCGUAGCUGGUCUGAGAGGACGAUCAGCCACACUGGGACUGAGAUACGGUCCAGACUCCUACGGGAGGCAGCAGUGGGGAAUCUUGCGCAAUGGGCGAAAGCCUGACGCAGCGACGCCGCGUGGGGGAUGAAUGCCUUCGGGUUGUAAACCCCUUUCGGCAGGGACGAAGCGAUUGUGUCGGUACCUGCAGAAGAAGCUCCGGCUAACUACGUACCAGCAGCCGCGGUAAGACGUAGGGAGCGAGCGUUGUCCGGAUUCAUUGGGCGUAAAGCGCGCGUAGGCGGUUUGGUAAGUCGGAUGUGAAAACACGAGGCUCAACCUCGUGCGUGCAUCCGAUACUGCCCGACUAGAGGUAGGUAGGGGAGAUCGGAAUUCCUGGUGUAGCGGUGAAAUGCGCAGAUAUCAGGAGGAACACCGGUGGCGAAGGCGGAUCUCUGGGCCUUACCUGACGCUGAGGUGCGAAAGCUAGGGGAGCGAACAGGAUUAGAUACCCUGGUAGUCCUAGCCGUAAACGUUGGGUGCUAGGUGUGGGGGGACAUUGACCCCCUCCGUGCCGAAGCUAACGCAUUAAGCACCCCGCCUGGGGAGUACGGCCGCAAGGCUAAA
rnacentral:rRNA from 1 species